rnacentral:rRNA from 1 species
GAUGAACGCUGGCGGCGUGCCUAAUACAUGCAAGUCGAGCGAACAGAUAAGGAGCUUGCUCCUUUGACGUUAGCGGCGGACGGGUGAGUAACACGUGGGUAACCUACCUAUAAGACUGGAAUAACUACGGGAAACCGGGGCUAAUGCCGGAUAACCUUUAGAACCGCAUGGUUCUAAAGUGAAAGAUGGUUUUUCUAUCACUUAUAGAUGGACCCGCGCCGUAUUAGCUAGUUGGUAAGGUAACGGCUUACCAAGGCAACGAUACGUAGCCGACCUGAGAGGGUGAUCGGCCACACUGGAACUGAGACACGGUCCAGACUCCUACGGGAGGCAGCAGUAGGGAAUCUUCCGCAAUGGGCGAAAGCCUGACGGAGCAACGCCGCGUGAGUGAUGAAGGUCUUCGGAUCGUAAAACUCUGUUAUUAGGGAAGAACAAAUGUGUAAGUAACUGUGCACGUCUUGACGGUACCUAAUCAGAAAGCCACGGCUAACUACGUG